AAUGUGACCUCAAAUCAGGUAGGACUACCCGCUGAACUUAAGCAUAUCAAUAAGCGGAGGAAAAGAAACUAACAAGGAUUCCCCUAGUAACUGCGAGUGAAGCGGGAAAAGCUCAAAUUUAAAAUCUGGCAGUCCUUUAACUGCCCGAGUUGUAAUCUAGAGAAGUGUUAUCUGUGCUGGACCGUGU
rnacentral:rRNA from 1 species